UUGAGGCGAGCUCUUAUGCAUUAUUGAUUCCUCUACAUCGCCUGUUUGAAAAUUAGCUUAACCUUCUUAAAAUACAAAUAAUUACCAUCUAAACUAAUACAUGAAUUAUCAAUCUGUCGAUGAUAAUUUGAGACACCUCGGAACCUGAACAUAACGGCCUACCUCUAUUGUAAACAGAUACAGGGGAUGGAGCUUAUGAAUUAUUGAUGUAUCGAUAGAGAGCUGUUUAUCGGAUUUCAUAGGAAGGGACGGUGGUAAUAAUUACAGACUCUCUUCAGGUGAUAAUUCUCAGGGAAUAAAUGCCUUGAAUAUCGUAAAACAGAAAUGAAAGCGAUUAAGAGUUUAACAGGAAAUAAACUGUUGGAUGUAGGUAUCUGUCUUUGAAUCUACAUUGGAGUUUCAUCUUUCAAACAGCUAAUAAAUAUUAAUACUAGAAUUCGGAGAAAUUCAAACAAAGUAUACCAAGCGUGACCACAGCAGAACUUGGCAACAACACGUCCAUUUGUUACAUAAAAGAAUUAUAUUUACCGCACGUAAUACGUAUUGAUAGCAAUCAACCCAGAUGAGCAAAGACUUGAGAGAAGUUCUGAAACUACAUAACGCAAAUUGUGCUCAUGCUAAUUGUGGGAUAUUGAACAACAGGACAUUUAACAAACACAAGGUCGAAAAAUAUCUGAAUCCGGAAUUAUUGAAAAAUGAAACACCCAAAGAUUGAUCUUUUCUCGCUCAUUGAAUGGAACUGUGAAGUAAAUGUAUAUACACUAUUUUUUCUUUAUGUAAUGGUUGAAUGAACAAGAGGCUU